rnacentral:rRNA from 1 species
CCUACGGGAGGCAGCAGUGGGGAAUUUUGGACAAUGGGCGCAAGCCUGAUCCAGCAAUGCCGCGUGAGUGAAGAAGGCCUUCGGGUUGUAAAGCUCUUUUGUCAGGGAAGAAACGGUGGAGGUUAAUACCUUCUGCUAAUGACGGUACCUGAAGAAUAAGCACCGGCUAACUACGUGCCAGCAGCCGCGGUAAUACGUAGGGUGCAAGCGUUAAUCGGAAUUACUGGGCGUAAAGCGUGCGCAGGCGGUUGUGCAAGACAGAUGUGAAAUCCCCGGGCUCAACCUGGGAAUUGCAUUUGUGACUGUACGGCUAGAGUGUGUCAGAGGGGGGUAGAAUUCCACGUGUAGCAGUGAAAUGCGUAGAGAUGUGGAGGAAUACCGAUGGCGAAGGCAGCCCCCUGGGAUAACACUGACGCUCAUGCACGAAAGCGUGGGGAGCAAACAGGAUUAGAUACCCUGGUAGUCCACGCCCUAAACGAUGUCUACUAGUUGUCGGGUCUUAUUGACUUGGUAACGCAGCUAACGCGUGAAGUAGACCGCCUGGGGAGUCGGUCGCAGNUUAAAACNCAAAUGAAUUGACCGGNNGAGAGAGCGACGGACGACGACGAGGGAGGAGG